CAGCCAGUGGUCUGAGUCACUGACUGAGAGCUGGACUUGCUGCAAGCAGUAUCUGAAACGGACGAUGGAGCUCACCUACCAGACCACAAGGUAUCCGACUCACCCACCUCUACACCAUCAUGGAUCCUGCACACGCUCCACUGGAACAGCAGAGAAGGUAAGCAGGAAAGGGGUGUGGGGACGUACACACACACACACACAUUAAGACUCCCCAGCACACACAGAUAAACUCAUCUUUCCCUCACACAUCUCUUACACACAUAAAUACUUAUACACUACACACAACACUCAAUACACACAAUUCACGGAAAUAGAGCCCAAUGCUCUAGGAGGGGUUCAAAUAUGCCACCAUGUCUAGGGCUCUGAGGUACCUUAAUCCAGCUAUGAAAUUUAUACUUUGUAUAUAUAUAAUACAUAGAGGAUAAGUAAAAACAAUAUUAAAAUUAUUGGGAGUUAACGGUUCCCCUUUAAAUGGCAUGGCAUAUUUAUAAAGUUAAAUGGCCAAAAGUGGUUAAAAUGUCUCUGUGACUUCUGAGUAUUUCAUAAAGAUAUAAUCUUUACAAAAUAAACAUAAAACAUUCUGUUCCUGUAUAACCAACUUGUCUUGUUGGGGCUUUAUACAUAAUAUUAAUAUUGACUUGUGAAAUCUCAUUAAAAUUCCAACGCAAUCAAAAGCUAUCGCUGACUAUUUUAUAUUGUGGGCCAGUGUGAGGUUGACAAAACUUCUGCAAUAAAGGUUUGUCAAUGCCCACAAAAAUAGCUUCUAUAGACCCUGUAGUUUUGUGCAUGUGUUACAGUACGGCAAUGGGGCAGUUCCUGGCAGUUGUAGCAACAGGAACUGAAAAUGGAUGACACAAGAAUAGCUGGGUCAGAGCUUCAGGCUGCCACACACUAUGAAGGCAUGUCACCUCAAGGGUCUUUGUCAUUUUUUGGGGGUCUGGGCAAAGUAAGGGGCACUGUAUGUCUGAUAAUUAUAAUGCAAUUCCAAGAUGGCUGCCCCCAUACUAAAACGCUGUGAGACCUUCAAAUAAUAUUUAAGGCCAUACUUGGUAAAGUUUGCUUAAAGGAGAAUUUUAUUAAUCUGUCUGGAUUGUUUGAAACAGAUUUAUAGAAAGAACAUUUUAGUAACUGCAACACUUUUAGUAAAUAGUGGGAAGAGUACAAUGUAUUUCACUUCUGUAGCCACAAUGGCCGCUAUUCCAUGUCUGGGGCUAGCAGAAAGUACGCUUGUUUCAUUUGCGAGUAAGGCAAGUGAACAGAGUACUUCUGGGCUAAUGUGAGAAGGUUGUCAGUAGCACAAAGGGUUAAGGUGUGAGAUAGAAAUAAUUACAGUCACGUUGAAAAAAAAAACGUUUCAGCAAAAUGUAAUGUAUUUAAGCACAAGGAACAUUCGGCUGUGUGUUUCUGGGGAAUGAGUGUCUUCGCUAAUUAGAUGACUGGAUGUGCUGAUCCCCCGAAAAGCACUAUGCUACAGAAAUGCAAGUAAAGUGAAAGGCACCAGGAAUGACCAUCCAGUAAAAGCUGUUGAGACAAAUGUUGCAGAAAUUAUAAGGCUGUGGUCUGUGUAAAGCUUGGAGAACAAACAAGCGUGAACAUUGAGAUAAAUGGCAGAAUGACACAGUUGUUGAGACACAUUGUUCUGUCCUGAACUCAUGAUCUAUGUUUCUGCGAAAUGUUUUUUAAGAAAAAAAAAAAAAAAAAAACCCUCCUCAUCAGAGAUCACAUUAAGGGGCUGGAGUCAUCGUACCGAAGGGGGAGGUGUGCAGUUGUAAGUAACCCCUGUCCAGCUCUAAAAGCUGUUUAGGCAUUUACCUUUUACCCAUGUCUCAGGAGUAUAUAUAGGGUUAAACUGUCCCUGCCUCCAUUUCAGAUUAACUCUUACAAAGCACAAGCCUCUCCCUCUCUCUCCAUAUUUAAUACUGUAUUGAGCCUUCAGGGAGAUUAGUGCAUGCCUAAUGACCCAGGCCAAGCCAACAUUAACCAUGUGAUGCCAUGGCAGAAAACACUGUAACUGGGGGUAUGUAUUAAAUUCACACUCAUACAUUUUUAUAAGCCUUGGAUUUAUUUUUUCAGGAACCAAAAUAUAUACAAUAAAUUUAAAAAGAAAAUCAGCUUCAGUGUAACUGUGCAUAUAUACAAAUGUAAAUGUGACUAUAAAAGUUAAGUAUAGACACACAAAACACAGCAACACCCAAACUGUCAUCUCUCGCCAUCUGCAUUACGCCCUUCUGACCCACAUAAUGCCAGUUUCAGAUUGAGCGAUUGUGUAUUCAGGGCAAGAUUGGGUAAUCUUCUUAAUGCCUAGGACUGUUUAUACAUUUCCCUCCCUAAUAUAUUUCUGGUGGGUUUUAUGCAGGGAGCUUGGGGACCUGACACUCCCUGUAGGGACUCAACAUACAAAGAUGUGUAUUAAGCAACUGUGGAUAAUUGAAAAGGGGUUUGCAGCACAUUUGGCCCAAUUGUUUUAAUUCUUGUCUGGUCGGUUAUUUACUAUUUCCAAGGGGGAAAAAAUAUUUUUGUGAAUACCUAUUUAGAGGUUAGUGGAACUAUUUUCUAUUACUGUCCCUUUAAACAACACCUCCCCCAGGCUGCCCAUGUUUAUUUAUCAUGAAAUGGGUGAGUGCUGUUGCUAUUUCCCAUAAGUGAUUCCUAAGCACAUAUAUAUGGGUUAAUAUUUGGUGAACGAUGUUAAUUUGAUCCUAAAGAGCCUCUGGCUGUUUGGGUCACUGUGCUUCUGUAAGGUGAGCACACGUCAGACGUCAAACAAAUACACAGACAUAGCAGUGCUUGCUGCCUCUCACAGAAAUAGCAUGCAAUCACCUCCUGAUGAUACUGUCUAUGACACAUGUAAACAGUGUGGCAAGGGUUAACCCCUUCAUGGCCAGCACUAAGCAAAUUCCUGCUAACUAAAUCUGAGAUGUUAUUGGUCCUUAUUGGGUUAGGUGACCCUCUACUGAGAAGCUAUUUGAUGGACUGCAACUCUAAUCAAAGCCAGUCUAUUUGACCAUUUCUAAACAUCUACGUUUCAUAGACGUGUGUUCUGUUAUUCAUAUUCAAGUUGGCAUUUGUGAAGAAUUGUCAUGAGAAAUACAAAUUUUUAAUCAUGGAGUUGAGCUGCAUGGAUGCCAUCUUCAGCGGCUCCGGCCUGAGGGCAUACAAUCUGCUCAACCCACCACUAUCCAAGGCCAAUUCUGACUAACACUACACAAUAUUCUUGGGAAAAGUAGCACUGUGGUAUACCCUGCACUCAAUAUUGUUUGAAUUGCUGCAAGUUUAGUCAAGAUAUUAGGCCUGAUCUCCCCAUGUCCUCCCAGAAUAAACUAAUACGAGGGUCUUGAUUAUGACGCAUUGCAACAGAGAUGACCACAGGGGGGUCAUCCCAGACUGUCAAUACAUUUUGUUCUGCAGGCCCCACCUGCUUAUCCUCGCACCUGUGUUCAGUGGCCCUGCUGACAGGCACUGCCUCUUUCAAUUUUAGUGUUAUAAGUUAAGUCUAUACUUUCGUAAGCCCUCUUUCAGGAACGAAGUUCGCCUGUGUGAAUUCACCAGUUUGAAUUCAUCUGUUAGAAUUCAUCAAUCUGAAUUCGCAUGCUUGAAUUAGUCGGAAUGCAAUAUUCCAGGAAAAUCGCAAAUUUUGCCCCGAAUGUAAUGCCACAUUAAAUCUAAUGCAUAUUCAAAUGUUGGAUACUUUAUUUUGCACAAAAAGUGCGCAUUAGAGUAAAUAGCGUAUUAUGUUUGUUUUUUAAAUCCAUUUUAUUUUUAUUCACUUGUUUAACAGUGUAUAUAACAGAUCAUAUUACAUACAGACAGGGUGGUUUGUUGUGUCGCUGUCUGUUGGUAUGUCACAAACAGACAGGCCAGUGUCACAUUACUGCAAGUAUUGUAUCAAUAAAUGUAUAUUAAGAUACACAUACCCGCAUCCUUCAAACAUAUUAGUAUAAAUACGACAGCAAGUUCAGAAAGAUUUUUGUUGCUAAAGAACCAAUGACCUUCAAAAGGUCACCUCAUAUCCUUGAACAUGGGAAUGAUUUUAGAUGUUGUGUAGGCCGAGGGCAUCUAUGCCACUUUAAAAAUAAUUUCCAUUGAUAUCUACUCACAAAAUCUCAAGAUUUAAACGCCCCAGACAUCCUAAGAAAGAGGAUUGCUGUUCCACUGUAAAUUGUUUAUGAGAAGUUAUUUUUAAAGUGUCAAAUAUUCUUAGUCUUCCCCACCCCUUCUGCUCUUAAUUCCCCAACCAAGGGAAAAUUGUGUCGGAUGCCUCCAAACAACUCAUGCUGGGCAUGUUGUUCUCAGCCACAUUUAGAAACAAAUCAUGGAAUCCUGGAUGUUAUAAGAUUAGGUGCGGGACACUAUGUACUAAGGUGUGACACUUAUUAAGAGUCUGUGAACGUCUUGCUAUCAGCACUAGAUUUAUCUGUUACUAGGCUGAAUAUAUGAAUAGCUUGCUGGCUAGGUUACAUAGGAAGAAAGGCGCAAGCAUGAGAUAAAGAGUCCAUAUCUUUUUUUUUUUUUUUUUUAAAUAUGUGCAGGUGCAGACAGAAACCAAGGCAGAGUCCAGAAUAACUGUAGACUGUACACAAAUAGGCCUGGCAACCAGUUAGGACAUGCACGUCUUGUCCAAAACAAAAUUGAUGGAAGCAAGAAUGCAUUCUUAAACUGCACAGAAGAGAUGAUGUCCUGCUGCAAGUUCUUAUAAUGUCUUAGGGUUGGUAUUUAUGCAUGUCUGUCUCAUUAUUAACCUUGGAUAUUAUUAUAGCCCAGUCACAACCCAGCUAUUGGGGACUCUUUAAAGGAACACACCAAGUGCCCUGGGUCCCUUCCAAUAUAAGUAGUCAAACCGUGUGCCAACUGUUUGAGUUCCUACUUGGGGUCUGCCAGGCUGAAAGCAGGAACUUCCUACUCACAAUAUAGAAAGAGGAGAGGCAGGGAGUGGUGCCUAACUGAAGCCAGGUAAGAUGUACAUUGGGGGGCACCAUUAUCAAUACAGGACUCUUGAGUAGCUACGGUGCUUGGAGUGUUCAUUUAAUUUUAUUCUAGACUAUAUACAUUGAGAAAAUCCUAAAAGCACUUCUUAAAGUAAAAGCCGUUUUGCCUGUUAUGUAGGUGCAAAACACAGGCAGACUUUGUGGAAGAACAAAGAUCUGCUCAAAUUUAAGUUUUGUGAAGGACCCGGGGAUUUUCACUUUCAGUGACCAUUGAACAGAGAAGAAAAAAAAGCCUCCCCCAUCUUAAUUAAAAUAUGUCUGUUUCUUGAAUUAGCAGUACAGUAGUAUAGACUGUCCUGUAACAGGUCUGAUUUCGACUAUGGAAGUUCCAAACCCACAACCUGGGAAAAUGAAAGCACCAGUUGCAGAGCUCACUCAGUGCUCAGGGCUAGAUAUUUUUCAAUCCUAAUACAGUGAACGUCC